AACUCAUCUUUGAUAUGUGUGAUUCAUCUACAGCUUUCUUUUCAUGAAGAGUGAAACUUUAUCUCAGUAUGAAUGAUAUGUAUCCCCUAUUGUAUUGGAGGACGAGAAAUCUGUGACAAAGCCAGUGCCUUUGGUGGUGCCCUGUCUACUACUGAUCCCAGGAUAAACCCAGCAGGAGCCUUCCUUCUCUUCUCUGCUUGACUUACAAUUUUAUUAAAUAUGAUUUCAAGAAGUGCCACUGCUGGGAACCAGUAGCCAAGGCACAUCUCACAGCAACAUCUCACAGUCCAAACUACGUAGAAGACCUCGUAAAAUAGGCCCACUGUGGAAAGAAGCAUUUAUUUUCUGCAUCUCUUGCCACUGUGAGUACCUGUUCAUUGUACAAGCUGG
rnacentral:lncRNA from 1 species